rnacentral:rRNA from 1 species
UUGAACGCUGGCGGCAUGCUUUACACAUGCAAGUCGCACGGCAGCGCGGGGCAACCUGGCGGCGAGUGGCGAACGGGUGAGUAAUAUAUCGGAACGUACCCAGAAGUGGGGGAUAACGUAGCGAAAGUUACGCUAAUACCGCAUACGAUCUACGGAUGAAGGUAGGGGACCGCAAGGCCUUAUGCUUUUGGAGCGGCCGAUAUCUGAUUAGCUAGUUGGUGAGGUAAAGGCUCACCAAGGCGACGAUCAGUAGCUGGUCUGAGAGGACGACCAGCCACACUGGAACUGAGACACGGUCCAGACUCCUACGGGAGGCAGCAGUGGGGAAUUUUGGACAAUGGGCGCAAGCCUGAUCCAGCAAUGCCGCGUGAGUGAAGAAGGCCUUCGGGUUGUAAAGCUCUUUUGUCAGGGAAGAAACGGUAGAGGCUAAUAUCCUUUGCUAAUGACGGUACCUGAAGAAUAAGCACCGGCUAACUACGUG